UUAAAUUGAAGAGUUUGAUCAUGGCUCAGAUUGAACGCUGGCGGCAGGCCUAACACAUGCAAGUCGAGCGGAAACGAGUUAAC
rnacentral:rRNA from 2 species